rnacentral:rRNA from 1 species
ACGGGAGGCAGCAGUGAGGAAUAUUGGUCAAUGGGCGAGAGCCUGAACCAGCCAAGUAGCGUGAAGGAUGACUGCCCUACGGGUUGUAAACUUCUUUUGCCGGGGGAUAAAAAACGGGACGUGUCCCGUCUUGCAGGUACCCGUGCGAAUAAGGACCGGCUAAUUCCGUGCCAGCAGCCGCGGUAAUACGGAAGGUCCGAGCGUUAUCCGGAUUUAUUGGGUUUAAAGGGAGCGUAGGCGGUGGAUCAAGUCAGCUGUGAAAUGUAGAUGCUCAACGUCUGCACUGCAGUUGAAACUGGUUCACUUGAGUGCGUAAGAGGUAGGCGGAAUUUAUGGUGUAGCGGUGAAAUGCUUAGAUAUCAUAAAGAACUCCGAUUGCGAAGGCAGCUUACUGGGCCGCAACUGACGCUGAAGCUCGAAGGUGCGGGUAUCGAACAGGAUUAGAUACCCUGGUA